rnacentral:lncRNA from 1 species
UAGAAGGUUGACUUUCUGAAAGUCAACAGAGAAUCUAUAGCAUGGUUAGGCAUUUUGACACAAAUAUAAGAAUCGAGAGAUCAUGGAAUAUGUGUUAGAUCAAUUAUGUGUUAUGUGUGAUAAUGAAUUUGGAUUUCAAGGAUAUUGAAACUAUGUGGUUGACCAAUCAUGUCAUAUGCGUGUUAGUGAAAGUCAAUGUAGAUAAGAGUUGGAAAAUGUGUGUUAAUAUGAAUGAGCAUGAAUACUAACAUUAUUAUGGCAUGACGGCAUGAAAGAAUAGGAACCACACUAGCAUGGACCAAGCAUGGAAGGCUAACGGGUCAAGAUGAGGCAAGCAAGCGGGUAUGAACACGGACGCACAAGGAACGAGUACAUCGGAUUCUUACGAAAUUUAAGCCCAACCCGGAAUAAGAGGAUGAGUAAGGAUAGUUGGAUGAACUAA